rnacentral:rRNA from 1 species
CGAACAGUUGGAAACGACUGCUAAUACCGCAUAAGCCCACGGGUCGGCAUCGACCAGAGGGAAAAGGAGCAAUCCGCUUUGAGAUGGCCUCGCGUCCGAUUAGCUAGUUGGUGAGGUAAUGGCCCACCAAGGCAACGAUCGGUAGCCGGACUGAGAGGUUGAACGGCCACAUUGGGACUGAGACACGGCCCAGACUCCUACGGGAGGCAGCAUG